rnacentral:rRNA from 1 species
GCUUGUCUCAAAGAUUAAGCCAUGCAUGUCUAAGUAUAAAUGGUAUACAGUGAAACUGCGAAUGGCUCAUUAAAACAGUUAUAGUUUAUUUGGUAUUCGAAUUUACAUGGAUAACCGUGGUAAUUCUAGAGCUAAUACAUGCAUUACGCCUGACUUUUCGGAAGGGCAGUAUUUAUUAGAUAACAGACCAUCUCCCCCAAAGGAAAUGUGGUGAAUCAUAGUAACUAAUCGGAUCGCAGAGGCCUCGCGCCGGCGACAAAUCAUUCAAGUUUCUGCCCUAUCAGCUUUCGAUGGUAGUGUAUUGGACUACCAUGGCAUUCACGGGUAACGGAGGAUUAGGGUUCGAUUCCGGAGAGGGAGCCUGAGAAAUGGCUACCACAUCCAAGGAAGGCAGCAGG